GAUGAACGCUGGCGGCGUGCCUAAUACAUGCAAGUCGAGCGAACAGAUGAGGAGUUUGCCCCUCUGACUUUAGCGGCGGACGGGUGAGUAACACGUGGAUCACCUACCUAUCAGACUGGUAUAACUUCGGGAUACCGGCUCUAAUACCGGAUAAUAUCUUGAACCGCAUGGUUCAAUAGUGAAAUACGGUUUUGCUGUCACUUUUAGAUGGAUCCGCGCCGCAUUAGCUAGUUGGUCAGGUAACGGCUUACCAAGGCAACGAUGCGUAGCCGACCUGAGAGGGGGGUCGGCGACACGGGAGGGGAGACGCGGUCCAGACUACUACGGGAGGCCGCAGUCGCGAAUGUGCCGCAACGGGCGGAAACCUGACGGAGCAGCGGCGCGUGAGUGAUGGAGGUCUUGGGAUCGUAAAACCCUGUUAUUGGGGAAAAACAACUGUGUAAGUAAAUAUGCACGUCUUGACGGUACCUAAACAGAAAGCCACGGCUAACUACGUG
rnacentral:rRNA from 1 species